rnacentral:rRNA from 1 species
UACGUAGGGUCCGAGCGUUGUCCGGAAUUAUUGGGCGUAAAGGGCUCGUAGGCGGCUUGUCACGUCGGGUGUGAAAGCCCGGGGCUUAACCCCGGGUCUGCAUUCGAUACGGGCUAGCUAGAGUGUGGUAGGGGAGAUCGGAAUUCCUGGUGUAGCGGUGAAAUGCGCAGAUAUCAGGAGGAACACCGGUGGCGAAGGCGGAUCUCUGGGCCAUUACUGACGCUGAGGAGCGAAAGCGUGGGGAGCGAACAGG